UGUCUUUUUUUUGUGUGGUUAUUGUUUUUAGAAGGACUCAGAUUCCAGUGAGACUCUAAAUCAUAAUCCUCUGAAUGCAGGGCAUGCAGUUCCUUAAAAGAGCCCUGGGAGAAAGGGAAGGGAAGAUGUUUUGAAUUCAUUUGACUCAGUUUCUCGCCUGCCAAGAAUCUCUUCCACGUGGUGAUGGCUCCUCACUCAUUUAGAGAUAAGAUGAUGUCAUCUUCCAAAUCAGAGUUGUCAGAGCUGUCGGCUGAAAGGAAGAAAACUGAAGUGGAUAAAGUAAAACCAAGAAAAGCAUGGCCGUGAUAAAAUGAAGUCCUGAAGCAGGUUUGCUAGCUCCUCAUCAGAGGGAGAAAAGUCAUUGUCGCCAUCCUCCCCUGCGUUCUCAUUGUUGUCAUCCUCCUCCAACUCCGCCUCCAGCAACUGGUCAGUGUCAAGCUCAUCUAAAUCAUCAGUGUCAUCAUCAUCUUCAUCGUCAUCUUCUUCCUCCUGUUCUUCCUCUUCCUGGUAAGAGAGCAUGAGGUCCAUUAGGACAAACACAGAGACCCAGCCCAUGUGGGCCACAUGGGCAGUCUCUCUCCUCCUUCCCAAAGGACAGAGGAGGUAACAGUCAGUAGAGAGCAUGGUAAUCUAGGUUAGCACACACUUCAUGGGCCAGCUUGACUCGUCAGUGGAGGCUGAGACAGGCACAUACAUGUCCCCCAGGACACUAAGCACUCCUCAGACAAGGACUACUGGUCACUCCACGAAGGCAUUACUGGUCAUGCAGCCCUUAUCUAAGGAAAUGGACAACACACUUCACAGAGGUCUCUGCCAUCAACAUUCUAUGUUUCUAACUAAUAAUAAACCCCAAAGGGCUCUUCUCUCUAUCCUCUAUCAACCAAACCAAAUGAAAUCACUUGAGGCACCGGAACUAAAGCUUCUACCUGGAAUCUAAAAAGCAGUGCUUUAAUAAAACAGGAAGAACACAGCUGCUGAGUCACCAGCUCCUAAGCCCUUCAAAUUCUUGUCCUUGAUCUUAUUUAUAACCAUGUAUGUGGGUCAGCACCUCUGACGGUGCUAUCACAAGCAUCCAAUGAUCUGAAUGUCCAACAAAAUAGACUUUUACCACUAAAGAGAUACUUGCAUUUUCUGUUAUAAGCCACACACACACCAAAAAAGUAUGCUAGAGAAAUUGUCCAGCCUUCUGUUCCCUCCAAACUGUUUCCCUUCAAGCAAGAGAGGACACGACGACAUCUCUUUGCUUUCCUAAGAACGACAGGUGUUCCCAAGUUAAAGUGACCAACAUUCAGUCACUAAUCCUUCUGCUCAAACAUCAACUGUCAGCACUGCCAGUAGCAAAAGGAUUCUAAUUCCUGCAAUAAUAAAAUAUAAAAUUCAUUUAACACACCAGCCUAAUAAAAGUCAAGACAAAACAAGCCCUACAUUAGCAGAAAAAAUCUUUAAAAACAUUUUGGAAGUGCUUUAAAAAAAAGGGGGGGGGAUAUCCCCAGUGGAACAGUGGUUAAGAAUCUGCCUGCCAAUGCAGGGGACACAGGUUCGAUCCCUGGUCCGAGAAGAUCCCACAUGCCACGGAGCAACUCGUGCACCACAAC